rnacentral:rRNA from 1 species
UACGGAGGAUGCGAGCGUUAUCCGGAUUCAUUGGGUUUAAAGGGUGCGCAGGCGGGCCUUUAAGCCGGCGGUGAAAUCGCGGGGCUCAACCCCGUCGAGCCGUUUGAACUGGCGCGCUUGAGUUCAGGCGAGGUAGGCGGAAUUCGUGGUGUAGCGGUGAAAUGCAUAGAUAUCACGAAGAACUCCGAUUGCGAAGGCAGCUUACCAGUCUGCGACUGACGCUCAGGCACGAAAGUGUGGGUAUCGAACAGG